AGAAACAGAGACGCCCUACUGAGAGAUGUCUCAGACAAGCUGAUAUAAAAAUAAUUAGGACAACAUCAAUAUCUCGGAAAAUAGUACACGUACAACACAAGAUCGUGUUCGAAAGAAUGACGUUGCACGAUAUGUUCACCGUUUUAUUUUUGUGUGUGGCUUUCCGUGCCGACUACUCAAUCUCCCAUCCGCACGUGAGACUCCUUUGCCUUCUCUUUUACACCUUUUCACUUAUUUAAAUCUUUUCCUUUUCCAUUACUUCUUUGAUUAGAUUGAUUAGAUAUUUCGUUCUUGUUUGUUUCCAUUCUAUUAAUAGUUUUGUCGUAAAUGUGGUGUGAUUUUCAUUUUUUUUUUUUUUCCACUUUUAUAUUAAUAAAACCCAAUAUACAAAAGGCAUAGAACCAAAACAAACUAAACCAAAAAGCCCACACUGGGCAGAGAAAUUAAAGCCACACGAGGCCCGUGAAGCCCAGCCAAAAGAAGCCCUAGAAAAUCGGCGACCGACUCGAACAUGACACCACACGUUGAACAGAUAGCAUGGUAGGGACACGCGCCCACUAACGAAGCCGCCACCUAACUUCAGCCAGAAAGUCAUCGACGGAGCUCCAACCGGCUGUUCCACCGGAAACACACCGGAAACAGGAACCCGAAGUUAGAGAUCUAUCGAAGACUAUGGAUAAUUGCUUUCCACCACCGACAUGGUCUACGCCGGAGGAUCAAAGAGAUACACCGGAAGCCAAGAGGCUGAGGAAGCCCGCUAAAGACAGUAGAACACAGUCGAUAACCAUACAACUUGGCUCUUCGCUUUAUAGACGAUUCAUUUGCAUGCGUUCCAAAACAGGAAACAGAGAUGAAUCGAAGAAGCUUGAAGGAAAGAUCAGACGAAAGCCAGAAUAAACCAGAGAGAAGCCGCACGACGCCACCGGAGAAGACACCGUCAUCAACGUCGCCGGAACCAGAAGCCAAUGAAUCAUUUAGAAGAAAGUGAUUCAUUGGAGCCAAAAGCCGACGGUUUCGUCAGAGAAGAACGACCACCGUCGGAACCAAAAGCCGGCCAGUCGAUGUUGAAGAAACCAUCGCUGCCGGAACCGACUCCUAUAGGAGCCAACACGCCGGAAACCACCGGCGAUCUAUAUCCUCUCUCUCUGAAAGAUUUUUUAGAGAGAAGAGAGAGAGUUUUUUAUGAUUGUGUUUUUUCCAAUGUGUGAUUUUCAUUCACUCCUCGUUAGCCUUUUAUGAAAAUAUUGUAAUACUGUGAAAUUAUAUCUAAAACUCGUGACACCGGUUUAUAGGUUAGAUGUAUUUUAUCUUAUCCAGCGACAUAAACAGGAUAUCUUGACAUGAUGAGAUAAGAAAAUGUACUGGUCCUUGUAAAUUUGGACCGCAUGUCGGCCAAAAAAUCGUUUUGACUGAUAUAUUAAGCUCAACUUUUUUUGUACCCGCAAAUUUAAAACGCUCAAAUAUUUGUUAUAACGCCAUCAAAACAGUGAUCAUUAUUCAAAAUUUAACUUAUAUGUGAUAUUUCCACUCGACUCAAUUAAAAUAGAAAUAAGCCAAGCUAAAAAAACAAAUGGUGACAUCAGAAGAAGGAAAAUCAAAAUGAUGAAUAAAGGGUGGUCAUGAUCCUAUGAGUCCCAUUAAUAUUUAUAUAUAUACACAGUGGUCAUGCACUCUUGAUAUUUGUUGCUUCUACAGUUUACUAUUUAUUUUUCACAUACAGCAAGAGUAAAAUUUUAAACGUGUCAAAAUAAAUCGUUGAGGUAGCACUCAGCAGAUCUAAUAAGUGGAUUGCCUCGAAUCAUAUUAACCCUGGGUUACUCUCGAGUACUGACAAGUAGAUAACGCCAAAGAAAAUGAUGUAAAAGGCCAAUAAUGGACUGUAAUAAGGGCGUGGUUCAGUACUCAUCGUGAAGGCGUAUCUAAUAUCUUCUUUCCCCAGCUACACGACUAAUUUACUCAAGUGCACCGUAUUUUUCUUGUACACGUAAACUAUUUAUAAGUCUACAUAGUUGUACAAUUGUAUAGUAUUUUAUACACUGUGCGUAGGUAAAUACGUAUGGCUCGUGUGGUGGUCCCCGCAGAAACCAAAGGUAGAGCCGUGUGGAGGGACCUCCCCCAAGUAAAACGAUAACCACACGGUAUCAGAUCCCUUGUCACUUUCUUGAAUUUAGUGGCGCCCUUUAACUCUAAAGGAACCUCCCCUAAAUAGAUACAGAACUAAUAUUCAUUUGUUUUUAAUAAAAAGUUGAUUUAAUCUUUUUGAUUGUGUUUCAAAAAAAAAAAAAAAAUCUUUUUGAUUAUUGACUAGGCUUCGAAACGCGUAAUGACUUCUUCUUCUAGUACAGCCAAACAAGUAUGGUGUCUAUGUAUUUGCUGCGUAUAAGAUCGUAAAGCCCGUCUUUGGGUCAAGUCGAUGGAACCUAUACUUUAAGUGAAUAUUUUCUUUAAACUUUUCUUGACAGAAUUUCAGAUUUGAAGAUUCAAAUUAUCAUGUUUAUAAUAUUUCCAUUUUAACGAAGCGGCCAUUCUUUCUUUAGCCUUUGAAAUUUCGGAACCAAUACAAACCAUGACCCAUGAUGUCAUUAUACUUUUACCAAAAAAAUGAUGUCAUUAUACUGAAAAAUAGCUAAAGCUUUUAAUAGUGAUAUUAAACUUAGUUGUUGGCUGCUGAUCCAUAAGAAAUUGUUGGCAUAUGAUUUGCUUAAAGAAAAACCAGUGAAUAAUAUACGAAUUCGUUCAUUUUAAUUCAUCUGUACUUAACACUAUUAUAUAGAAAGGUAAGGGUGGACGAGACUGAUGCUGGUUAAAUAACAUAAUGAUAUAUAAUUUUUUUGCAAUUUUUUAAAUAGAAGUUUUAGUUUUUAUCCAUUUCUUAUACUUUUUUUUCGUCAACACAAUUCUAUUGAUUUAUACAAGGAGUUCAUGAUCUUUUUAUUUUUGAACAGAGGAGGAGUUCAUGAUCUAAACUCUGGUUUUUGACUAUAUACAAGUUGAAUGAAUGUAUGUAUCAAAAUCAGAUAAGCUACAUCCACUUUUUAAAACAACUAGUUGAUGUAAUUUAUAGCCACCUUUUAAUACUAGUUUUUGAGCUAGCUGUAUUUUAUACUAAGUUCCUUGCAUUUGAAUUUAGAAUGGGCUUUUGCAUUAAAACUAUACUCGAUUUGUAUUCAUAAACUUCAAAAAAAGUUUUAAUAGCUAUGACUUUUGAGUCUACGACAGCUCGAACAUAGAAAAUUAAAAAACUAUGAAAUGUACCUAUCCAAUUUAAUUUAUUUUUCAAGAUUCAUAUAUGUAUAUAUUUACAUAUUUAAUUGUAUUACAUUGUCUAUACUCAUUAAAACUUUACGCAAAUGCGCAUGGACGAGCAUGUCUCUCCGCAUGGCGUAAGAUUUAAGUUUAAAACUUCUAUAAAAUAACAGACUAAUAACAAAAUUAUCGGCUAAGCAUCACUUAAAUUUAAUACACGUUAUGGAGACUACCACGUCACAUUUGAGCACCUUCCAGGCUGUCAAAGACUCCUAUCACCCAUUCAAAUCAUUCCACGUGGCACUUUCGGACAGUGACACCUAUGCUACAACAGCUGUCUCACUCGUCUACAUUGGUAUAAAUACCUCUUGUAUCACACUUCAUUCUAUAAACCUCAAACAAAACCUCUGUUCUAACUCUUACAAUAACCAACUUCUCAAAUGGCUUAUAAUUACCGUUUUGCCUUUUUCCUCACCGUCCUCACCGCCCUCGCCGGGAUCUCCUCCGCCGCGUUGGUCAAGGAGCAGCCGCUUGUUCUGAAAUACCACAACGGCGCACUCUUGAAAGGAAACAUCAACGUCAAUCUCGUUUGGUAUGGGAAGUUCACACCCACCCAACGGUCAGUGAUCGUCGACUUCAUCCGCUCGCUCAACUCCAAAGAAGCCACAACCUCCGCCGCUCCCUCCGUCGCGUCGUGGUGGAAGACGACGGAGAAAUACAAAGGCGGAGCUUCGACUCUCGUCGUCGGGAAACAGCUCCUCCUCGAGAACUACCCCCUCGGAAAAUCUCUCAAGAAUCCCAACCUCCGUGCUUUAUCCACCAAACUUAACGGCGGUCUCCGUUCUAUAACCGUCGUUUUAACGGCGAAAGACGUUUCCGUCGAGGGCUUCUGUAUGAAUCGAUGCGGGUCCCACGGAUCGUCCGUCUCGACUUCGCGCCGCGCGGCUAACGGCGAGGCUUACGUCUGGGUCGGAAACGCCGAGACGAUGUGCCCGGGGUACUGCGCGUGGCCAUUUCACCAGCCCAUUUACGGCCCACAAGGGCCGCCGUUAGUUUCCCCUAACGGUGACGUUGGAGUCGACGGGAUGAUUAUAAACCUGGCUACGCUGCUAGCUAACACCGUCACGAAUCCGUUUAAGAACGGGUAUUACCAGGGCCCACCAACUGCUCCACUUGAAGCUGUCUCCGCUUGUACCGGCAUGUUCGGGUCUGGUUCUUACCCGGGUUACGCGGGUCUAGUGCUGGUUGACAAAACUACCGGGUCUAGCUACAACGCUCGUGGACUCGCCGGGAGGAAAUAUCUCUUGCCGGCGAUGUGGGAUCCACAGACCUCGACUUGCAAGACUCUGGUUUGAUCCAAGGGAUGUGAGUAUGACACGUGUCAUGUUCUGGAAGGAAUGAGGAGAUCUAGAUGACAUCUAUAGUCAAAACAAGUUGUAACUCGCGCUUGUAUAAUAUAUAUGCUUUCGGGUUUGGACUGUGGAUAAGAGUCUUUGCUUUUGUCGUUUUGUUAUGACGUGUAAAUUAUGUUUCUUGAAUGUGAAGAUAUAUGAAUAGUAUAAAAUAAAAUGAUUGUGUUUCUGUUGACAAAAAAAAUGAUUUUGUUUCUACUGCUUUUUAUAAAAGUUAAUGCACUUAUUAAAGAUAAUGAACUAUAAUGAUUGAGGCUUAUAAUACAAAUUUUAUACAUUUAAAGGAAUCUAGCUUUUAUAUUAGUGGGUAGUAUAAGAUAAUCAUAGUUUUAUUGUUUAUAUUAAAUUCGAUGAUAAAAGUAGAUAACACUACAAAGAAAGAUGAGUAUAAAAUAUAAGUUGCUCUCGGUGAUGUUGGGGCCAAAGAGACCAAAUCGAUUGCUUAAUAAAAUACUCGUUUCUUCCUACUUUUUUUUUCAUGUCAGCCAUAGUGUGCUUAAAAUACUUCCUCGUAAUUGUGUUCCCUCAUUAUUUGUAUGACUAUGAUUAAAACUAAGUUAACAAAGAUAAGGUCUGUAAUAACACCAGAAUUCAUUGUGUCAGAGGUUCUGUGGAACAAAAUUAUUUAUAUUAUAUGUAGUUUUAGGAUACGGAGAAAUGAGAAGUUUUUAAAAAUGAUAUAAGAACAUAAUUAUAUGAUGACAAAAAAAAAGAACAUAAUUAUAUAUGUUAUAAAGGAAAAAGAAAUUAUCAGAAAAAAAGAGGGAAGGAAAUGAUCAGAAAACGAGGAAAACAUUGUUUAGGAUGCUAAACCUCAAACACGAUGGUCAGUGGGUUGAGGAGUAAAACCUCUUAUAUCGGCUUAAACAGUUUCCGAUUAGGUUAGUAAUUUAGUAAUUUGGUAUUUCCUGACCAUGGUCAGUGGGUUCGGUGAAGUUUUUUUUUUAGAUAAAAGGGUUUGGUGAAGUCCUCCAUUACUUCCGUUCUGUAUGCCAAAAGACAACUUUGUAACUUUUAAUAUUAAAGCAUCUCCAAUAGCAGUCUUAAAAUAAAAUUUUAUGUAUUCCAAAAGAAACUUCAAAACCUCAAAUUAUAAGGUUUGUACAGUGAAACCUUAUAUUUGAGAUUUUACUGUACAAAACCUUAUAUUUAAAGUUCCAUAUUUUUUUAGUCCCUGUACUUAUAUGUUUUUUAAAAAGUUUUUAUAAUUUUCUUGUUUAUCAUUUUAGUCCAUACAGUUUUAUAUAUUUAUAUAUUUAUAUAUGUUUUUAUAAAUUUAACUUUUUAAAAAUAAAUAUAUAAAUGUUUAAAUAAAAAACAAAGCAUAAUCUUUUAAUAAUAUUAUGCAAGACAAUAUUACAUCAACAAGUUGAUACAAAAUACAACAAGGUAAAAAUGCAUAAAAUAAAAUUACAUAAGCAAAAUAAAUAUUACAAUUAUACUAAUAAUCCGGUAAACUUGAUCCCGAACCUCCAAUAUCACUAAAAUAUUGGCCAUAAAAGGUUGGUGCAUUCGAAGGUUGUUGUUGUUCUUGAGUUCUUUUCUUUAUAAUUCUUUCUUGCUCAGAUCAGAUAAACUCACGAGUAGUAUGAUCACUGAUAGAUUCUAGGUUUGUUAACAACAUUUUAUUCUCUUCAUGCAUUUCCUUAAGGGCUAGUUUUUUUGUUUGGUGUUGCAUACGUAAAUGAACAAUUUCAUAAUUCUUAUCCCUAGCUGAUGCACUUUCUUUUAAGAAAUCAAGGACUUGUUCAUUUGAUGAAACCAAAGUGUCAACUGAAGAAUUUUUACCUUCCGAGAUUUUCCUUUUGAGUUUUGCUUUCUUUGAUCUAAUUGGUCGUUGUGAUGAAUUUGACCCACCAUCAUCACUACUUAAGUUGAUUGAAAAUGAAAACAAUCCCGGAGAUUGUGAUGUUGGAGAACCGACGACGUUGCUCUGAAGAGUGUUUGGAAUACCAAAAUUGACGUUGUCGGUAAACUUUGGGAUAUCCUUCAGUUUUGGAUCUUGUACCAAUAAUUUCUUGCAUUUUUCCAUCUGCAUGCAAGAUAAAAUCAUUAAAAAUAAAUAAAUAUCAUAUAUAAAUGAAGCUAAAAAUAAAUAUACAUACAAUGUCAAAUUCGGAUGCACCACUUGGAUUCAAAUUCUCCACUUGACUUAUGCAGCUCUUCAAAUUUCUAACAGCAUAAAGAAUAGUAUUCAUUCUACCUUGUAAUGAUUGGUUGCUUCUAAUUUCCCAACACUCAUCUUUUUUUCAUUGUAACUCUUUUUGAUUUUUCCCACAGCUUUCCUAGAGAUUGAUUAUUACUACCAAUCUUGUGAUAUUUCUAGAUACACUCGACAUAAUAACUCAUGAUAUAAUGACAACAUGCAUUAUAAUGCAUAACAUGAUAAUUGAAGACGAGCGGGACAUCAACGCACCGAUUAGAGAUGCAAGAGCGGUGCCAGUGCUACAAGUUGAAACAGCAACUAACGAAAAUACUCGGUUUCAAUAAUUUUUGGCUCGUAAUCUACAAAUAAAAAAAAAUAAAAAAGCUCAUUUAUCGCUUCAAAAUGCACUAAUUGAUCUUAUAUGAGAGCAUUAUGGGAAUAAUAAUAAUGAAUAAUGUAUUUUUAAGUCUUUUAUUUAUAUGUAAUAUAUGCUAUUAGAAUGUAAUAGUUUAUUAAUAGCUAUUGUUUAUAGUAUUUUUGAUGUAUGAUUUUAGCUGUUAUAAAAGUUUUAUGCUUUUAUUUGAUUCUUGUCUAAAGUAAGGACUAUAAUGUAAAAAUAUAAACAAAUUGAGGUUUUUUUUAAGGUUUACCAUUGGAGAAGGUCACCCCAAACCUCAAAUAUAAGGUUUAGCAAACCUCAAAUAUAAGGUUGUUCUUGCAGAUGUUCUAAUAAUAUAUAUUUUUUGGAUCAAGAACACAUUCAUCAAAUAUUAACAAGAUUUUUUUUGGGCAAUUCUCCUUAAUAGCCCCUUUUAACUUUGUAUCUCUAAAUCAGACUCUCAAACUGAAAAUAACCUAAAUAACCUUCAUCAAGUGUCAAAAGUCUACAAUGCCCUUCUUUUAAUUGUAAUUAGAUGAAACAAUUAAUAAAUUGCAACCACGAAAAAUAAACGACGACGAAGGACUCUUGAAGUCAUCUUCGACGACGAGCUCCGGCGACAAAGGAAACAAUGAUUCUCAUUGUCGACGAAGCAAGCUGUGUGAAUCUGUAUGUUUCAAUAGUUUUACGAAGAAAAUCUUAAUUUUAUUUAGGGUUUUCAAAUUGAGAUUUGAAUUUUUGUGUUCUUCUUCUUCCGAUGAUACGUUUGAACUUGUUUUGUUGUUUGAAUAGAACAUGGAUAGCAGAAUCGGAGUUACAAAUAAUGAAUUUCAGGAAACUUCGUUUACAUAUAACUUUGGCUUAAAGAGGAAGAUGAUCUCGUGACUUUACUUUUUGGUAAGCAAUUUUUGAAUCUUUGAUAUUCCUAUUUAUUCUUUGAUAAAAGAACCCUGUGUAAAGAGAGCUUUGAUUGUUGGAGUUGGUCUCUUUGUUGUGUUUCCCUUUUUCACCUGAAUGGUAAUGUAACAGUGUCAAAGUGCGAUUGCAGGUCUCUGAUGCUUUGUAGAACUCAAUUUUGAAACCGCCUCCUUCAUACGUACAGCCAGCCUUCUCUAGAAGACCGUAAGAUAUUAUGUUCCUGCUAAUAUUCGGCAUGUGUCUCACAUCAGUUAAAAUCACUUCAACACCAUCCACAUUAGUAACUCGAAUCUUUCCAAUUCCUUUAACUUCGCUCUGUGUGUUGUUCGCCAUAAAAACUUUCCACCUUCUAGUUCCUUGAAGUCAAAGAGAACAUUCCUUUGAGGAGUGAUAUGAAACGAGCAGCCAUAGUCUAGAACCCACUCCUACUUAGUGUCCUGAACACUUACAGUCAGUACAAGCGGCUGCUUUGGUUAAGAAGCUAUAUUCAUUAAGCUUGAAGACUCAUUCUUCCUUCCCUGAUUAUUCCAAUUCUGUGGGCAUUCUCUCUUCCAAUGACCAUCCUUUCCGCAAAUAAAACACCCUGUUUUGUUGGUAUUUCGGUUUGAUCUUGGUCUAGACUUUGAUCUUCCAUCCCGUGACUUUGAUCUGCUUUUUCCAUACUUUCCAUUUCCUUUAUUUCCCUUCUCCUUCUGUCUACGUUGAGAUUCCACAUACAAGCCUUUUAAGUUCGAUCUAGACUUUCCAAAGAGACCCCUUUGUUUUGUGUUGUUCAAAAUCUUUAAAAUUCAAAUUGUAGUGGGAUUCUAAGAUUUUCAGUUAUAAUAUUACUAGAUACUAGUUGGUAUAAAUAAAUUACACAUUUAUAUUUUAUCGCAUAAAAACAUGAAAACACCUAUGUAUAUAUAAAAUUAUAUACCAAAAUAUAUAGAGAUUUAUCUCAUUUUUUUUAAACAUGUAUAAUGUAAAAUAUUGUUUUUGGAUAACACAAUGUAAACUAGUUUUAUAAAAUGAUAAUUAUCAAAUCAAUAAAAUUCAUUCUUAAUUUGUGGUUAUGUAUAUAUUAAAAACCGAAUUAUUCAUUAUAUUUAAUAAAGACCUUAUAGCACAAUAUAAAUUAUUUUUUGAUAAUGAUAAUUAUCAAAUUAAUGAAAUUCAUUUUUAAUUUGUGGUUAAUCAUAUAUUAACAAAUCAAAUUAUUCAUUAAGAGUAAUAAAAAUUUUAGCCGCUCUAACUUUUAAUGUUAGAACUAAUAAUCAUUUUGCAAAUAAUAAUAUAGAAUAAAAUUAUUAAAUAGAAGGUUUAAUUAUUAUAAAUAGCUAUAAACUUGUAUCAUGGUAAAAUAAAAAUUGUCUUCUUAUUUGAUUGCAGGUUAUCCAAGUAGGGAAGGGCUUGGAUUUGAUCCAUCCUAACACAAACUUAAUCUGCUAAUUCUGUAAUAAUAAUAAUACAACAAGAUUUGUUCUACUAAUCUUUUUACAGAGUGAAAUUUUUUAUUCUUUUGAAUCAAACAAAAGACACCAGAAGAAUUAGCCUUAUCUCCAAAGACUCUAAUUACUCAGUUCCGUUCGUUCACCAUUUGUUUUGACAAUAUACAGAAGUAAGAUCAUCUCUCUGGCUCGAUUUUCAUCUGAACCGUAGAUUCAGAACCUGACACAUACAACCAAAUAACAAUGUAAUUAGAUAUCACACAACAAAACUUCACACUGUUUAUAUUCUGCAAUGUAAAUUUCUGUUUAUAUUUUUGCUUACAGUUGAUGCUCUGUUGCGGACAAUCACUGAAACCCAUAUGAACAAUACUCUGCAGAUCGUUUUCCCAGAAAGCUGGCGCCUAAGAAAACACACAAAAGUAAGCUUUUCAGAGGAAGCAAUACAGUGAGACUGUAUACAAUAUAAGCGGACAUUAAAGUACCUCAGCUUGAACAAAUCCUUCACUAAGAAUGUUCUUGCCAACAGCUAAAUACUCUGAAGGAAAUCUUGACUCUGAACAAGAUAAUGAUUCUCCCAGCUGCAACAUCUAAGACAUACAUAAUCUACUCGUCAGAUACAAUUACAGAACAUUCUCCCAGUCUUUGUUAUGAAUGAAUCAACAUAAAGCAGAAGAAUACCUCUGCAGAUAACAUAGCAUUAGCAGCAUUGAACUCCGUUCUUGGAUUUAUAGUUGCUAACUUCAUAGACAAGAACUGGAGAAGUAAACAAGAGAUUCAGAUUCAGUUAUAAUAAACACACAGCUCCAUGUUUAAGAAACAUAUAAAGCGACAGUAUACCUGGACUUGUCUUUGCAAUGACUGCACAUAAUUGAUAAUCUCAUCAAGCAUGACAGCUUUUCCAGUAAUCCGGUUGCAACCAGGGACCAAAUCUUGAAGCAACUUCAUUCUCGCACUNNNNNNNNNNNNNNNNNNNNNNNNNNNNNNNNNNNNNNNNNNNNNNNNNNNNNNNNNNNNNNNNNNNNNNNNNNNNNNNNNNNNNNNNNNNNNNNNNNNNNNNNNNNNNNNNNNNNNNNNNNNNNNNNNNGAAGCCCUAGAAAAUCGGCGACCGACUCGAACAUGACACCACACGUUGAACAGAUAGCAUGGUAGGGACACGCGCCCACUAACGAAGCCGCCACCUAACUUCAGCCAGAAAGUCAUCGACGGAGCUCCAACCGGCUGUUCCACCGGAAACACACCGGAAACAGGAACCCGAAGUUAGAGAUCUAUCGAAGACUAUGGAUAAUUGCUUUCCACCACCGACAUGGUCUACGCCGGAGGAUCAAAGAGAUACACCGGAAGCCAAGAGGCUGAGGAAGCCCGCUAAAGACAGUAGAACACAGUCGAUAACCAUACAACUUGGCUCUUCGCUUUAUAGACGAUUCAUUUGCAUGCGUUCCAAAACAGGAAACAGAGAUGAAUCGAAGAAGCUUGAAGGAAAGAUCAGACGAAAGCCAGAAUAAACCAGAGAGAAGCCGCACGACGCCACCGGAGAAGACACCGUCAUCAACGUCGCCGGAACCAGAAGCCAAUGAAUCAUUUAGAAGAAAGUGAUUCAUUGGAGCCAAAAGCCGACGGUUUCGUCAGAGAAGAACGACCACCGUCGAACCCAAAAGCCGGCCAGUCGAUGUUGAAGAAACCAUCGCUGCCGGAACCGACUCCUAUAGGAGCCAACACGCCGGAAACCACCGGCGAUCUAUAUCCUCUCUCUCUGAAAGAUUUUUUAGAGAGAAGAGAGAGAGUUUUUUAUGAUUGUGUUUUUUCCAAUGUGUGAUUUUCAUUCACUCCUCGUUAGCCUUUUAUGAAAAUAUUGUAAUACUGUGAAAUUAUAUCUAAAACUCGUGACACCGGUUUAUAGGUUAGAUGUAUUUUAUCUUAUCCAGCGACAUAAACAGGAUAUCUUGACAUGAUGAGAUAAGAAAAUGUACUGGUCCUUGUAAAUUU
rnacentral:lncRNA from 1 species